rnacentral:rRNA from 1 species
AGUGAACGCUGGCGGUAGGCCUAACACAUGCAAGUCGAACGGCAGCACAGUAAGAGCUUGCUCUUACGGGUGGCGAGUGGCGGACGGGUGAGGAAUACAUCGGAAUCUACUUUUUCGUGGGGGAUAACGUAGGUAAACUUACGCUAAUACCGCAUACGACCUACGGGUGAAAGCAGGGGAUCUUCGGACCUUGCGCGAUUGAAUGAGCCGAUGUCGGAUUAGCUAGUUGGCGGGGUAAAGGCCCACCAAGGCGACGAUCCGUAGCUGGUCUGAGAGGAUGAUCAGCCACACUGGAACUGAGACACGGUCCAGACUCCUACGGGGGGCAGCAGUGGGGAAUAUUGGACAAUGGGCGCAAGCCUGAUCCAGCCAUACCGCGUGGGUGAAGAAGGCCUUCGGGUUGUAAAGCCCUUUUGUUGGGAAAGAAAAGCAGCAGGUUAAUACCCCGCUGUUCUGACGGUACCCAAAGAAUAAGCACCGGCUAACUUCGUG